GAGCCUUUCCGUGCCACUGCGGAACCCCUCGCAGGGGUGGGUAGUGAGGGGAAGGCCCAGGCGUCGCGCGGCCAGCCCCUGGGGACACCUUCAGGCUGCUCGAGAGGGUUCCAGCUGCCAGGUCAGGAGCAGAGCACAGCCACCGCGCCCUCCAAGGACACCAAGAAUGGAAUAUAAAUGGCUCAGAAGAAGCUUAACCAUCAAUAAAUGUGGA
rnacentral:lncRNA from 1 species